UACGAAGGGGGCUAGCGUUGCUCGGAAUCACUGGGCGUAAAGGGUGCGUAGGCGGGUCUUUAAGUCAGGGGUGAAUCCUGGAGCUCAACUCCAGAACUGCCUUUGAUACUGAGGAUCUUGAGUUCGGGAGAGGUGAGUGGAACUGCGAGUGUAGAGGUGAAAUUCGUAGAUAUUCGCAAGAACACCAGUGGCGAAGGCGGCUCACUGGCCCGAUACUGACGCUGAGGCACGAAGCGUGGGAGCAAACAGG
rnacentral:rRNA from 1 species